rnacentral:rRNA from 1 species
AUUGAACGCUGGCGGCAGGCCUAACACAUGCAAGUAGAACGAGUGGCGGACGGGUGCGUAAUGUAUGGGGAUCUGCAUGAUGGAGGGGGAUAACUACUGGGAACGGUAGCUAAUACAGCAUACUAUCGGAUGAACCAAUAUGGGAUUAGCUAGUAGGUGGGGUAAAGGCUCACCAGGGCGACGAUCUCUAGCUGGGCUGAGAGGAUGAUCAGCCACACUGGUACUGGGACACGGCCCGGACUCCUACGGGAGGCAGCAGUGGGGAAUAUUGCACAAUGGGCGCAAGCCUGAUGCAGCCAUGCCGCGUGUAUGAAGAAGGCCUUAGGGGUGUAAAGUACUUUCAGCGGGGAGGCGUUACCCGCAGAAGAAGCACCGGCUAACUCCGUGCCAGCAGCCGCGGUAAUAC